rnacentral:rRNA from 1 species
GAUGAACGCUGGCGGCGUGCCUAAUACAUGCAAGUCGAGCGAACAGACGAGUAGCUUGCUCCUCUGACGUUAGCGGCGGACGGGUGAGUAACACGUGGAUAACCUACCUAUAAGACUGGGAUAACUUCUGGAAACCGGAGCUAAUACCGGAUAAUAUAUUGAACCGCAUGGUUCAAUAGUGAAAGACGGUUUUGCUGUCACUUAUAGAUGUAUCCGCGCCGCAUUAGCUAGUUGGUAAGGUAACGGCUUACCAAGGCGACGAUGCGUAGCCGGCCUGAGAGGGGGAAGGGGAAACAAGGAACUGAGACACGGUCCAGACUCCUACGGGAGGCAGCAGUAGGGAAUCUUCCGAAAUGGGCGAAAGCCUGACGGAGAAACGCCGCGUGAGUGAUGAAGGUCUUAGGAUCGUAAAACUCUGUUAUUAGGGAAGAACAAAUGUGUAAGUAACUAUGCACGUCUUGACGGUACCUAAUCAGAAAGCCACGGCUAACUACGUG